GGUGGCUCAAUGGUAGAGUGCUUGCCUUGCAUGCAUGAAGCCCUGGGUUCAAUUCCUCAGCACCA
rfam:Dipodomys ordii contig_18988, whole genome shotgun sequence.